UUGGAGGUGAGAGCAGUAAGUCUCCACCAGGGAAUGGUCCAUAUCCCUUCCCUGCCCCGGAUUUCUGCAGAGAUUUUGCAUUACCGUAUCUGUCUGUGACUGCAGUGCUUAUCUAUGAAAUGGACCUGCCCUUCCUAUUGACAAGGUAAAGUUGAGUAAGCAGUAGGUUGAUUUCAUGGGAACUGCAGGAACAGGUGCUUGUGGGAAAGCAACUUGCCUUCAGAGCUGACUCUUAAUUAAUAAUUGAAGAUGCCCUAGGAGCAUAGUUGCUGGAAAUGGUGCCCAUUUUGGGAAAGAUAAAUGCAGAGAAAUCUGAGUAUGAGAACAGUAAUGACACUGGGA